rnacentral:rRNA from 1 species
AAUGAUUUUUUUAAUGGCCGCGGUAUUUUGACCGUGCAAAGGUAGCAUAAUCAUUAGUUUAUUAAUUGUGGAAUGGUAUGAAUGGCUGGACGAAAUAUUAUCUGUCUCUUGUUUAAUUUUUAGAAUUUAAUUUUUGAGUUAAAAAGCUUAAAUUUUUUUAUAGGACGAGAAGACCCUAUAGAUCUUUAUUUUUAAUUUUAUUAAUUUAUUUAGUUUAUUUUAUUUUGAUAUAAUUUUUUAUUUUGUUGGGGUGACAUUAAGAUAUUUAUAAUUCUUAAUUUUAUUUUUCAUUAAUUUAUGUUUAUAUGAUCUUUUAUUAUUGCUUAUAAGAAAUAGAUACCUUAGGGAUAACAGCGUAAUUCCUAUUUAGAGUUCAUAUUGACAUAGGAGAUUGCGACCUCGAUGUUGAAUUAAGAUUAUUAUUAGGUGUAGAUGCUUAAUUAUUUGGUCUGUUCGACCAUUAAAUUCUUACAUGAUCUGAGUUCAAA